AUGCACGCUGGCGGCGUGCCUAAUACAUGCACGUCGAGCGAACGGACGAGAAGCUUGCUUUUCUGAUGUUAGCGGCGGACGGGUGAGUAACACGUGGAUAACCUACCUAUAAGACUGGGAUAACUUCGGGAAACCGGAGCUAAUACCGGAUAAUAUUUUGAACCGCAUGGUUCAAAAGUGAAAGACGGUCUUGCUGUCACUUAUAGAUGGAUCCGCGCUGCAUUAGCUAGUUGGUAAGGUAACGGCUUACCAAGGCAACGAUGCAUAGCCGACCUGAGAGGGUGAUCGGCCACACUGGAACUGAGACACGGUCCAGACUCCUACGGGAGGCAGCAGUAGGGAAUCUUCCGCAAUGGGCGAAAGCCUAACGGAGCAACGCCGCGUGAGUGAUGAAGGUCUUCGGAUCGUAAAACUCUGUUAUUAGGGAAGAACAUAUGUGUAAGUAACUGUGCACAUCUUGACGGUACCUAAUCAGAAAGCCACGGCUAACUACGUG
rnacentral:rRNA from 1 species